rnacentral:rRNA from 1 species
CCUGGUUGAUCCUGCCAGUAGUCAUAUGCUUGUUUCAAGGAUUAAGCCAUGCAAGUCUCAGAGUAAAUGGAUUGACAGUGGGUCUGCAGACGGCUCAUUAAAUCGGUGGCAAUCUACGCGGGGAAGGUGCCUUAUGGGCCCAGGUGGAUAACAAUGGUAACUCCAUUGCUAAUACAUGUCCGAAAAAUCUUACUUGCAUCAACCUCAUGGAGUAAAAUCUGUGGGGGCAGGGAAGAUACAGUUGACCGAAAUAGAACCAACGCUAGCAAUAGCAGCGGUGAGUGGAUGAAACAGGUCAACCGAGUGAUAGCACACGACCUCGUGUCGGUGCAAGCCCGCAAGAGCUUCUGCCCUAUCAGCUUUUGACGGUAGUGUAGUGGACUACCGUGGCUGUAACGGGUAACGGGGAAUUAGGGUUCGAUUCCGGAGAGGGAGCCUGAGAAACGGCUACCACAUCUAAGGAUGGCAGCAGGCGCGCAAAUUGCCCAAUAGCAACACUGCUGAGGCAGCGAAGAGAAAUAGCAACUUCUCGUACUUUGUACGAAGGAGAUUGCAAUGGAUGAUAUCUAAACCUGUCAAUGAGUAUCAAUUGGUGGACAAGUCUGGUGCCAGCACCCGCGGUAAUUCCAGCACCAAUAGCGUAUAUUAAUGCUGCUGCUGUUAAAAAGCUCGUAGUUGGAUCCAGAGUACAGGUUGCAAGGCGGCUCAGUUUGGGUAAACCGGCGUACUGCCGGGAUGCACAGGUUGGGGUAAACCCCUUGCACCAAGACCUGUCCUCUAUGAACGGUGGUAAUGGUGCCUUGCAAGUAGCCAUUUCGGUGGUGAAAGCGCCAACGUGUUAACCAUACGCAUACGGGUCGACCACCGAUGUUACUGUGAACAAACCAGCGUGCCCAAAGCAGGCGUCCGCCGUGAAUGAUAGAGCAUGGAAUAACAAGGGAUCGAUUCUCUCGGCUCUUUUUGUUGGUUCUUAACCCGAGAAGGAAUAAUCAAAACGAUGUUCUUAGCAUGUCUCUUUGAGGCGUGUUUAAGUCAUCGCUACACGGGAUCAAUAGGGACUGCCGGGGUCGUACGUACUCCUAUGUCAGAGGUGAAAUUCUUAGAUCGUAGGAAGACGAACUUCUGCGAAAGCAUUCGACAAGAAUGUCUUCAUUAAUCAAGAACGAGAGUGUGGGGAUCGAAGAUGAUCAGAUACCGUCGUAGUCCACUACUGUAAACGAUGCCGUCUCAGGAUCGAGGGAUGCUCAACCAUGACUCCCACGGCACUACCCCGAAACGAGAAAUCAAAGAUUAUGGGUUCAGGGGGGUGUACAUUCGCAAGGCUGAAACUUAAAGGAAUUGACGGAAUGACACCACCAGGCGUGGAGUAUGCGGCUUAAUUUGACACAACACGGGGAAUUUUACUAGGUCAGGACAAUGUAAGGAUUGACAGAUUGAGAGCUCUUUCUCGAUCCAUUGUGUGGUGGUGCAUGGCCGCUCCUGGUUGGUGGAGUGAUUUGUCUGGUUGAUUCCGUUAACGAACGAGAUCUCGACCCUU